GGAAUCUUCGGCAAUGGGGGCAACCCUGACCGAGCAACGCCGCGUGAGUGAAGAAGGGUUUCGGCUCGUAAAGCUCUGUUGUUAAAGAAGAACACGUAUGAGAGUAACUGUUCAUACGUUGACGGUAUUUAACCAGAAAGUCACGGCUAACUACGUGCCAG
rnacentral:rRNA from 1 species